AUUGAACGCUGGCGGCAUGCUUUACACAUGCAAGUCGAACGGUAACAGGCUUUCGGGUGCUGCCUAGUGGUGAACGGGGGCGUAAUGCAGCGGAACGUACCCAGAGUUGGUGUUUAACGCAGCGAAAGGUGUGCUAAUACCCCAUGUGAUCUGAUGCUGACAGCGGGUGACCGCGCAGCAAUUUUUGGCCUUGCGCGUUUGGAUGGGCCGAUGUCGGAUUAGCUAGUUGGUGGGGUAAAGGCCUACCAAGGCGACGAUCCGUAGCUGGUCUGAGAGGACGACCAGCCACACUGGGACUGAGACACGGCCCAGACUCCUACGGGAGGCAGCAGUGGGGAAUUUUGGACAAUGGGCGCAAGCCUGAUCCAGCAAUACCGCGUGCGGGAAGAAGGCCUUCGGGUUGUAAACCGCUUUUGGCAGGAAAGAAACGGUGUCCGCUAAUACCGGGCGCUAAUGACGGUACCUGAAGAAUAAGCACCGGCUAACUACGUG
rnacentral:rRNA from 1 species